GCCAGGCACUGUGUUUUAGGGGCAUAGCUGCCUCCCUAUUGUCAAGGAUUUUGAGCAGAUCAGAUUUGAGGACCUUUUUUCGAUAGGUCUAUAUUUUUCUUACAGCCACUCCCCAUUUUAAGCGCAUCGUGAGUAGGCUUUUGGAGUCUGAUCUAUCGAGCUGGGUAUGUUUGGAAAGCUACAGAGCAGUAGCCAUAGAAAGACUGCGUGAGACAGAGUCCUAGCCUAUCUGUCCGGCCAGUCGAACCUCAUGUGUUCGCUGCUUUCAUUUUCCCUUGGCUGAGGAAACGAUGGUUUGGUUUUGCAAAGGAAUGCUGGGGACUUCUGCCAGCUUGCUAACGGCCUUGCCCCAUUCAGAUGCAUCGAACUCACAGAACAUCGCUCCCCAGCUGCUGGCUCGCGGUUCUGAGAGUGCCUGAAUAGAAAACCACUCAUUUCCCUUCGCAAAAGAGGCGCCCAAAGCAGAUAUUUCAAUAUAUUCCAAUUUAGCCGAGGGAAGCCAGAACAUGGAUGUUGUUGCCAAGGAAACCACCUCCUUCCUCCUGUGUGCUGUGCAUACGUGUAUCACUUCAUCUCUCUGCUCUCCAAGCUUGAAUCUAGAUCUGACGUGGAUAUCCUGCCACAGUUCCGAAGUCUACCUAGUGCCCCAGCCGAACCUGCCCUGGCUCCUAGGUGGGGUAUGGACAUCUGUGACAUCCCUCCCCAACACCCCACCAAGCUGGGCUGCAAGACGGGUUAUGGUGGCCCCAUGACUUCCUUCCUUGGAGAAACCACAGAGCUUGCAGGAAGAAGAGGCCAUGUGAGUAGAGAGUGAGAACUCGGCUGCCUAUGAGCCCAUACGAAGAAGCCUCAGGAUGAAAGCUACCUGACCAACACCUUGAUUUUGGACUCUUCUAGAACAUGGGAAAUAAAUUUUUGUUGUUUUAUAA
rnacentral:lncRNA from 1 species